GCCUACACAUGCAAGUCGAGCGGUAGCACAGGAGAGCUUGCUCUCCGGGUGACGAGCGGCGGACGGGUGAGUAAUGUCUGGGAAACUGCCUGAUGGAGGGGGAUAACUACUGGAAACGGUAGCUAAUACCGCAUAACGUCUACGGACCAAAGUGGGGGACCUUCGGGCCUCACGCCAUCAGAUGUGCCCAGAUGGGAUUAGCUAGUAGGUGGGGUAAUGGCUCACCUAGGCGACGAUCCCUAGCUGGUCUGAGAGGAUGACCAGCCACACUGGAACUGAGACACGGUCCAGACUCCUACGGGAGGCAGCAGUGGGGAAUAUUGCACAAUGGGCGCAAGCCUGAUGCAGCCAUGCCGCGUGUGUGAAGAAGGCCUUAGGGUUGUAAAGCACUUUCAGCGAGGAGGAAGGGUUCAGUGUUAAUAGCACUGUGCAUUGACGUUACUCGCAGAAGAAGCACCGGCUAACUCCGUGCCAGCAGCCGCGGUAAUACGGAGGGUGCAAGCGUUAAUCGGAAUUACUGGGCGUAAAGCGCACGCAGGCGGUUUGUUAACUCAGAUGUGAAAUCCCCNCGCUUAACGUGGGAACUGCAUUUGAAACUGGCAANCUANAGUCUUGUACACGGGGGUAAAAUUCCAGGGGUAACGGUGAAAUGCGUACAUAUCUUGAGGAAUAGCCG
rnacentral:rRNA from 1 species